UCGGACGUGGUGCAUGGUGCGCAUCCGCGAGAAAUGGAAGACGAAAGAAACUUCCUGCGGGAAGUCCGGGUUCGAUUCCCGGCGUCCGAA